AUGGUGACCAGGGAAAUACAGAGGCUAGGAGAAGGGGAGGGAGUUAAAACUGGCUACGAAAGAACAGAUGGUCUUCCCCACGGCUCCACGGCACCCUUCAUUUCUCUCUUUCCUACACUCACCCACCCACCCAUCCAGGCAUGUGCUCCCUCUUACACACACACACUCACACACACACAUCCAGGCAUGUGCUCCCUCUUACACACACACACUCACACACCCAUCCAGGCAUGUGCUACCUCUUACACACUCACACUCACACACCCAUCCAGGCAUGUGCUCCCUCUUACACACACACACUCACACACUCACAUACACACUCACACACCCAUCCAGGCAUGUGCUCCCUCUUACACACUCACACUCACACACCCAUCCAGGCAUGUGCUCCCUCUUACACACACACACUCACACACCCAUCCAGGCAUGUGCUCCCUCUUACACACUCACAGACACUCACACACACAUCCAGGCAUGUGCUCCCUCUUACACACACACACUCACACACCCAUCCAGGCAUGUGCUCCCUCUUACACACACACUCACACACACACACACACAAACACCCAUCCAGGCAUGUGCUCCCUCUUACACACACACACACACACACCCAUCCAGGCAUGUGCUCCCUCUUACACACACACACUCACACACACACACACACCCAUCCAGGCAUGUGCUCCCUCUUACACACAUACUCACACACACACUCACACACCCAUCCAGGCAUGUGCUCCCUCUUACACACACACUCACACAAACUCACACACACAUUCACACACUCACCCAUCCAGGCAAGUGCUCCCUCUUACACACACACACUCACACACUCACCCAUCCAGGCAUGUGCUCCCUCUUAUACACACACACUCACACACACUCACACUCACACACACACACACACACACCCAUCCAGGCAUGUGCUCCCUCUCUCCCUCCCUCCCUCUCUCUCUCUCUCACACACACACACACACACACUCACACACGCUCACACACACACAACUUUAUGAGCCCCCGCUGCCUGUCAGGACUGACAACUGA
rnacentral:lncRNA from 1 species